rfam:Clonorchis sinensis DNA, scaffold: 1728, strain: Henan.
UGUUCUGUAAUGACGAUUGUAUGAAAAACCCGUCUUGGAUUCGUACAGUCUGAUGUGAACA